GGCCUAACACAUGCAAGUCGAACGAGGUCCAUGCAGUGGCAACACUGCGGAAGGCCUAGUGGCGAACGGGUGAGUAACACGUGAGGAACUUGCCCCGGAGACCGGGAUAACUCUCCGAAAGGAGAGCUAAUACCGGAUGUCCUCACCGAAUCGCAUGGUUUGGUGAGGAAAUGGAUUCCGCUCCGGGAGAGCCUCGCGGCCUAUCAGCUAGUUGGUGGGGUAACGGCCCACCAAGGCAUCGACGGGUAGCUGGUCUGAGAGGACGAUCAGCCACACUGGGACUGAGACACGGCCCAGACUCCUACGGGAGGCAGCAGUGGGGAAUCUUGCGCAAUGGGCGAAAGCCUGACGCAGCAACGCCGCGUGCGGGAUGACGGCCUUCGGGUUGUAAACCGCUUUCAGUGGGGACGAACCAAGACGGUACCCACAGAAGAAGCCCCGGCCAACUACGUGCCAGCAGCCGCGGUAACACGUAGGGGGCAAGCGUUGUCCGGAUUUAUUGGGCGUAAAGAGCUCGUAGGUGGUUCGAUAAGUCGGGUGUGAAACCUCCAGGCUCAACCUGGAGACGCCACCCGAUACUGUCGUGACUAGAGUCCAGUAGGGGAGCAUGGAAUUCCUGGUGUAGCGGUGAAAUGCGCAGAUAUCAGGAGGAACACCAGUGGCGAAGGCGGUGCUCUGGGCUGGAACUGACACUGAGGAGCGAAAGCGUGGGGAGCGAACAGGAUUAGAUACCCUGGUAGUCCACGCCGUAAACGUUGGGUACUAGGUGUGGGGUCUUAUCAACGGAUUCCGUGCCGCAGCUAACGCAUUAAGUACCCCGC
rnacentral:rRNA from 1 species